rnacentral:lncRNA from 10 species
AGUGCGGCGCCGCCUCUCCGCCAGCCACUGCGCCGCGGCCAAGCCUCCUGCCUCGCAGCGGUCCCCCGCGUCCCGGCCUGCAGCCUCCCCGGGCGCCGGCGCCCCCAGCACGCCCCAUCGGGCACCCCACUCUCUCCGAGGUGUGGGUGCGGCGGGCUGAUGAGGUGAUCCCUAGCCCGCCUGGGAGGAGCGCCUGGACUCGCGGGCGGCGGCGAGCGCCUUUACAAUGGCCCUGACCCUGUUUGAUACAGAUGAAUAUAGACCUCCUGUUUGGAAAUCUUACUACAUCCUUUAAUAUCCCCACAAAGAACUGGGGAAAAUAAAUGACCAGAUUAUGGAGAACAGAGCCAAAUAUCCAGCACUGACUUGUUAUAAGUAUAUCAGCUACAACAGGAAGCCCCUCAUCCUCGAAGAAUUACCUGUACUUGCGAGGUGGAAAACAGACCAAAGUAUUAUGGAAGAGAGUUUCAUGGCAUGAUCUCCAGAGAAGCAGCCGACCAGCUCUUGAUUGUGGCUGAGGGGAGCUACCUCAUCCGGGAGAGCCAGCGGCAGCCAGGGACCUACACUUU